GACGAACGCUGGCGGCGUGCUUAACACAUGCAAGUCGAACGAAGAGCGGUGGAGGCUUGCUUCUAUCAAUGUGAGUGGCGAACGUGUGUAUAACGCGGAAUCAACCUGUUCUUGAGGGGGGUACAACAGUUGGACACUACUUCUAAUACCACAUACGAGCUAAUCUCGUCUUCGAUAUUUGAAGGAAGGUGUUCUCUAAAUGUAAGCUGUACCUGAGUUGUGGUAUUUCGUUUGUUUAGCUAGGGGGGGGGGUAGCGACCAACCAAGGCGAUGAUCAGUAGCCGGUCUGAGAGGAUGAACGGCCACAUUGGGACUGAGACACGGCCCAGACUCCUACGGGAGGCAGCAGUGGGGAAUCUUCCGCAAUGGACGAAAGUCUGACGGAGCAACGCCGCGUGAGUGAUGACGGCCUUCGGGUUGUAAAGCUCUGUUAAUCGGGACGAAAGGCUUUCUUGCGAAUAGUGAGAAGGAUUGACGGUACCGGAAUAGAAAGCCACGGCUAACUACGUG
rnacentral:rRNA from 1 species